GACGAACGCUGGCGGCGUGCUUAACACAUGCAAGUCGAACGCUGAAGCUCAGCUUUUGUUGGGUGGAUGAGUGGCGAACGGGUGAGUAACACGUGAGUAACCUGCCUCCUUCUUUGGGAUAACGCCCGGAAACGGGUGCUAAUACUGGAUAUUCACUGGUCUUCGCAUGGGGGUUGGUGGAAAGGGUUUUUCUGGUGGGGGAUGGGCUCGCGGCCUAUCAGCUUGUUGGUGGGGUGAUGGCCUACCAAGGCUUUGACGGGUAGCCGGCCUGAGAGGGUGACCGGCAAAAUGGGACUGGGGUACCGCCCCGACUCCUAAGGGGGGGAAGAGGGGGGAAUAUUGCACAAUGGGCGCAAGCCUGAUGCAGCGACGCCGCGUGAGGGAUGGAGGCCUUCGGGUUGUGAACCUCUUUCGCUCAUGGUCAAGCCGCAACAAUGGUUGUGGUGAGGGUAGUGGGUAAAGAAGCGCCGGCUAACUACGUG
rnacentral:rRNA from 1 species